GACGAGGGAUCCUAGCGUUGUUCGGAAUCAUUGGGCGUAAAGCGUGUGUAGGCUGCUCUUCAAGUCAGUUGUGAAAGCCCCGGGCUCAACCCGGGGAAGUGCUUCUGAUACUGUUGAGCUUGAGUACUGGAGAGGAUAGUAGGAAUUCCAGGUGUAGUGGUGAAAUACGUAGAUAUCUGGAGGAAUACCGGUGGCGAAGGCGGCUACUCUGGCCAUGGUACUGACGCUGAGACACGAAAGCGUGGGGAGCAAAGCAGG
rnacentral:rRNA from 1 species